GACGAACGCUGGCGGCGUGCUUAACACAUGCAAGUCGAACGCUGAAGCCCAGCUUUUGUUGGGUGGAUGAGUGGCGAACGGGUGAGUAACACGUGAGUAACCUGCCCCCUUCUUUGGGAUAACGCCCGGAAACGGGUGCUAAUACUGGAUAUUCACUGGUCUUCGCAUGGGGGUUGGUGGAAAGGGUUUUUCUGGUGGGGGAUGGGCUCGCGGCUUAUCAGCUUGUUGGUGGGGUGAUGGCCUAGCAAGGCUUUGACGGGUAGGCGGCCUGGGAGGGUGACCGGUCACAUUGGGGCUGAGAUACGGCCCAGACUCCUACGGGAGGCAGCAGGGGGGAAUAUUGCACAAUGGGCGCAAGCAUGAUGCAGCGACGCAGCGUGAGGGAUGGAGGCCUUCGGGUUGUGAACCUCUUUCGCUCAUGGUCAAGCCGCAACAAUGGUUGUGGUGAGGGUAGUGGGUAAAGAAGCGCCGGCUAACUACGUG
rnacentral:rRNA from 1 species